AGUUCCUUCGGGAAUGGAUUAGCGGCGGACGGGUGAGUAACACGUGGGUAACCUGCCUCAUAGAGGGGAAUAGCCUUUCGAAAGGAAGAUUAAUACCGCAUAAUAUUGUAGUAUCGCAUGAUGCGGCAAUUAAAGGAGUAAUCCGCUAUGAGAUGGACCCGCGUCGCAUUAGCUAGUUGGUGAGGUAACGGCUCACCAAGGCGACGAUGCGUAGCCGACCUGAGAGGGUGAUCGGCCACAUUGGGACUGAGACACGGCCCAGACUCCUACGGGAGGCAGCAGUGGGGAAUAUUGCACAAUGGGGGAAACCCUGAUGCAGCAACGCCGCGUGAGUGAUGACGGUCUUCGGAUUGUAAAACUCUGUCUUCAGGGACGAUAAUGACGGUACCUGAGGAGGAAGCCACGGCUAACUACGUGCCAGCAGCCGCGGUAAUACGUAGGUGGCAAGCGUUGUCCGGAUUUACUGGGCGUAAAGGGAGCGUAGGUGGAUAUUUAAGUGGGAUGUGAAAUACUCGGGCUUAACCUGAGUGC
rnacentral:rRNA from 2 species